rnacentral:rRNA from 1 species
GACGAACGCUGGCGGCGUGCCUAACACAUGCCAGUCGAACGGAAAGGCCCUGCUUUUGUGGGGUGCCCGAGUGGCGAACGGGUGAGUAACACGUGAGUAUCCUGCCCUUGACUUUGGGAUAACUUCAGGAAACUGGGGCUAAUACCGGAUAGGAGCUCCUGCAGCAUGGUGGGGGUUGGAAAGUUUCGGCGGUUGGGGAUGGACUCGCGGCUUAUCAGCUUGUUGGUGGGGUAGUUGCUUACCGAGGCAUUGACGGGUAGCCGGCCUGGGAGGGUGGCCGGCGACAUUGGGACUGAGGUACGGCCCAGAGUCCAACAGGGGGCAACGGUGGGAAAUAUUACACAAUGAGCGGGAGCGUGUUACGGCGACGCUGCGUGCGGAAUGACGGCCUUCGGGUUAUAAACCGCAUUAGCCUGUGACGAAGCGUGAGUGACGGUAAUGGGUGAAGAAGCACCGGCUAACUACGUG